GUUUAGUGGUAAGAGGUUUCCCUUGUAGAAAUAAUAGUGGGUAAUUGGGGGUUUUUUAUGAUCUGAUGUUUUUUAAUUUACUUGUCCAAUGCUUGUACUGGACACCAUUUGGAAAAAGUAGGAUAAUAUAUCAUUUCUACUGGGGGGCCUGUCUGGCUAGUUUUAGUAUGUGGUAUAUAAUGGUCCUUUACUUUUGUUAAGAAUUUUUGCUUAAUUCAUGACUUAAAGUCGGAUGACUUUUCCACAGAAAAUUCUUUGGGUCUCAGGAAUCCGUAGAAUGCUAAAUAUGCUGUUGACUUAAUUACCAAAUUUGUGGGGUCUUCGAAAAGGCACCCUGUGCAAUAAAUUUAGGCACCCUGUGCGAUAAAUCUUCACAGCGCCUCCCCCCCGUCAUCCAUGUAUGAUGUAAUGUUUGUGUUGUCUGUGUAUGUGAUAGAUGUGAUGACUGUGUGUGAUAUGUAUGCUAUGUGAUGGCUGUGUGUGAUGGUUAUUUGAUUCAGAUAAAAACAUGCAUUUAGGCCUGUGUGUGAAUGCAGGGGUAUAUUUUUGCAGAGUCAUGUGCACAUAUUCCCACAGUCAGAUGCACACAGUUAUAAAUAUGCACUGUCAAAUCCACCACAUGCACAUAGUCGCAGGCAGAUAGUCACAUACACAGGAUCAGACAGAAACACACAGGUAAAGGCAGUAACACACAUACACAGUUACAGGUAGAUAAACACACUCACACACAAUUACAGGCAGACAGCCACACAUACAGUCUUACACACACAUACUUACAUCCAGACUGUCAUACACAGCCACACACACAGCCAGACAGCCACACACACACACACAGGCAGCCACAUACAUACAUACACACAGGCAGCCAGCCACAUACAUACACACAGGCAGACAGCUACAUACAUACACACAGGCAGACAGCCACAUACAUACACACACACACACACACACACACACACAGAGGCAGACGGCCAUCCACACACAGAGGCAGACGGCCAUCCACACACAGAGGC